CUCUCUCUCUCUCUCUCUCUCUCUCUCUCUCUCUCUCUCUCUCGGGAAUCGAACAUAUUUUUUCUUUGUAGUCAUAGCUUGUGCGAGUAUAAAAUUUCUUGAAAGUCCCAGGAACGUCGAUAUUAUCGACAUCGAUAACAUUUCAGAGGUAUUUAAAUAACUCGAUAUUAAAUUCUUCCUGUCUCCCGCUUGUAUGAGAGUCGAACGUUCGGCCAGAGAGGGGAAGGAAGAGCGGGAGAGGGGCUGGGGCUGGGGCUGAGACUAGAGCUGGAGCGGUAUGGGGUGAAGGGUAGAACAGACGAGAGUUUAAAUCGAUGGACGUAACGCCUCCUAGAAGUAACCGUGACCCACAGUUCUGGGCAGACGAAGUUCCGGCCCUUCGAGGGAAUGUUCCUUUGUGCCGUGGAACCCAUCCACCCUACUCAUCCCUUCCAACGUCAUUGCCACCACCGACAACGUCCUUCUCAUUCCCUUUUUCUCCCUCUCCCUCUCCCUCUCCCACCCUCUCUCGCUCUCUCUCUCUCUCUCUCUCUCUCUCUCUCUCUCUCUCACUCCCUCUUUCUUCAUUUUCACAAGGAAUAGAGGAAUUAACUUUUCGGACGAAAUACGUUGUUUUCAAGUAGAUUAUACGUUCUAGACCGAUCUUUCUUCUCGGAAUCCUUUAAAAGAUUCAUACCGAUCGUAUCGAAAAAAAAAGAUAUUUUGAGUUAUUUGUUUUUGACAUCAAUCGAAUCAUUUUCGUUUUUACUAAUGUCUGUUACGGUCAUCAAGAUUUUUUUAUAAAAAUCCUACCACCCCUAGCUAUAAUAUUUGCUUUCGAUUUAAUUCGAUUAAAAAGCAUAGAUAAUUUAUGUCGAACUCGAAAUCAUCGAUCAGACUCAUCGACGAUAUUAGUUAUGGUAUCCCAUAUGUUCCUUUUUACUCUGAAAAGUGUAGAGGAGGGUGGAUUUCUUGAUUAUGCGAAUAUCUACAGACAAUAGAACCCCAACGUCAGCUGCUCCCACCCUCUUCUUUCUCUCUUUCUCUCUCCACCUCUCCUUCCCUUUCUCAAAUCACCCCUAACCCCCGGACCAGGAUAGCACGGGGUCGAACACCCUCCGCGAAAUAAGCAAUAAGUUAUGGUGGGACUGACGACCCCCAUCCCCUCCAAUGUCAUCGCUACACCCCUGAUCAUGGGUCCACAAGGGUGAGCGUGUACGAUAUCGUUGCAUAGUAUAGAUCGACCGUUCAUCAAGCUCAGUUCACAUUGCGACGCUCAUCGUAAAACGUCCCUUUCUCUCUCUCUCUCUCUCUCUCUCUCUCUCUCUCUCUCUCUCUCUCUCUCUCUCUCUCUCUCUUUCUCUCUCUUUCUCUUUACAUUUUUUUACCAUCUUUUUCUCUACUUUUCAUUACGUUUUACCUACUUUGUUUUCUUCUCUAUCUCUAUCUACUAACUACUCUAAGAUCAUACGCGCGCGCGCAUCAUACAUAAAUUUGUCGAUUCGCUUGUCACGGAAAGAAUCAAUGUGUCGUGCGGAACUUUGAUAUAACGUCGACGAAACAAUCGCUUCGGAGUGUCGAGAGUGGAGAAGUGCGCGUUUGUAGUUCGCUGUCAUUCUCGUGAAAUUUACGUGCUUCGAGAUUGAAUUCGAUUAUCCGCGAAGAAUAAAUAAAAUACCUGGUUGAUUUUCUCGAAUCGUGUUCGUAAUUGUUAUUGUUGGGAAUCGGUGUGAAUAUAAGGAAGGUGUAACUUUGAAAAGAAUUCGUUGAAUAGUUCGCCGUUAGAAUAAUCAGACGAACGUGAAUCGUGUUGUUGUUAGGAAUUGUAAAGACCGGAAGAAUUAUCGAAUUCGAGAAACAUCGAGAAACAUUGCGAUAAUUGUCGGGAUAAUGUCAAACGAAUAAAUUAAUCCGAUUGAUAUAUUGACAUUUUUCUUUUUCGAGUGUACUUUUUAGGAACAUGUCUCUGUGCGAUCCUUCGGACAAGUUUAAGACAAGAGUGCAUCUUCGACGUCAGCAUGAUCGAAAGCCGAGUGAAAAAAAAAAGAGACAGGAUUCGUGAGUCUGUGCUCCUUGCGUUCACUGCGGGCUUCCAUGUGCCAACUUUUCAAAAUUCAUAAGGCACGCGGUGAAUGCCAAGAGCGGACCAAAAUCAACGUUGUCUCUGUCCAAUUGGUGUGUCGCCUCGAGGAAGCCUUGUCGAUGUUAGUGACUUGGAAGAAAGCUCGAAGGUUCCCGUCGAAAACACGCCGAUUCAUUGCCAUAUCCUUUUCUUCCUUCUUCCCGUUAAGCGAGGUCAGUACACACUAUUCGCCGUUCUCCUCCUUCUUUCUAUCCGUAAUUACCUUUACCUUCAUACUCCUCGUUUCUUACCAAUUCACAAAUUAUGCAGAAAACAUUAAAGAAAUGUUGGAAAGAAAGAAAAGUUGGAUAGGAUAAUGCGUAUCUCCUGGCACGGAGUGGCACUUUGAUAGUAACUGCUAGAACUACUCCAUUGGUGGCAGAGUCAUCGGUGGUGUUGGGGAACGACGAGAAGGAAGGGAAAGAAAAAGAAACAGAAGAUUACGAAGAAAAAAUAGAGAAAAAGUAGAAGAAAAGAGCUAGAAAAGAGGCGAGCUCGCAAUCGUUUUAAGUGUCCCAUCGGACGCGAGUGUAGGAUGGAAGAGAGAAAAAGGG